CAGUAGCCGCGGUAAAACGUAGGUCCCGAGCGUUGUCCGGAUUUAUUGGGCGUAAAGCGAGCGCAGGCGGUUAGAUAAGUCUGAAGUUAAAGGCUGUGGCUUAACCAUAGUACGCUUUGGAAACUGUUUAACUUGAGUGCAAGAGGGGAGAGUGGAAUUCCAUGUGUAGCGGUGAAAUGCGUAGAUAUAUGGAGGAACACCGGUGGCGAAAGCGGCUCUCUGGCUUGUAACUGACGCUGAGGCUCGAAAGCGUGGGGAGCAAACAGGAUUAGAUACCCCUGUAGUCCCUGUCUCUUAUACA
rnacentral:rRNA from 1 species